rnacentral:rRNA from 1 species
CGGGACACGUGGUAUCCUGUCUGAAUAUGGGGGGACCAUCCUCCAAGGCUAAAUACUCCUGACUGACCGAUAGUGAACCAGUACCGUGAGGGAAAGGCGAAAAGAACCCCGGCGAGGGGAGUGAAAAAGAACCUGAAACCGUGUACGUACAAGCAGUGGGAGCACAGAGCAAUCUGUGUGACUGCGUACCUUUUGUAUAAUGGGUCAGCGACUUAUAUUCUGUAGCAAGGUUAACCGAAUAGGGGAGCCGAAGGGAAACCGAGUCUUAACUGGGCGUUAAGUUGCAGGGUAUAGACCCGAAACCCGGUGAUCUA